rnacentral:lncRNA from 1 species
CAAAUAGAACCACACAACUAAGAGCCACUGCAAAAUACGAGAAAGCAUCAUCUCCAGCUCUGCCUGCUUAGAUGAGGUUGAGGUUGCAGAGAUACCCAAGGAGAGUAACCUGUCCAAUUUCAUUUCCAGUUUUCUCCUGACCCCACUACACACUACCUAGAAUUGUCAGAUUUAACAAAUAAGAAUACAGGAUGCUUGGCUGCAGUUGAAUUUCAAGCAAACAACGCAAAUUUUUGGUGAAAAGGAAGGCACUCUCAGAUACAUCACGACUUGCAGUUCUGUGCACAAGCCUUCCAGGUGC